rnacentral:rRNA from 1 species
UACGGGAGGCAGCAGUGGGGAAUAUUGCACAAUGGGCGAAAGCCUGAUGCAGCUAUGCCGCGUGUAUGAAGAAGGCCUUAGGGUUGUAAAGUACUUUCAUCGGGGAGGAAAAACAAAACUAAUAAUUUUAUUUCUUGACGUUACCCGAAAAAGAAGCACCGGCUAACUCCGUGCCAGCAGCCGCGGUAAUACGGAGGGUGCUAGCGUUAAUCAGAAUUACUGGGCGUAAAGAGCACGUAGGUGGUUUUUUUAAAGUCAGAUGUGAAAUCCCUGGGCUUAACCUGGAACUGCAUUUUGAAACUGAAAUACUAGAGUAUCGUAGAGGGAGGUAGAAUUCUAGGUGUAGCGGUGAAAAUGCGUAGAUAUCUGGAGGAAUACCUGUGGCGAAAGCGGCCUCCUAAACGAAUACUGACACUGAGGUGCGAAAAGCGUGGGGAGCAAACAGGGAUUAGAUACC